CUUAUUGAAUGCUGCUUCGGUGGCCAAUAAACACACACCUUGUGAACCUAUCCAGUUGCUUUGGCAGUGCCAUCGGCGUCAAAACCGACUUGGAGGGAGGCUUCGGCCGAACUUCGGGAGCGCCUGCCACAUAUCAAACCCAGUUUUAUAUUUGCAGUCUGAAACAAAAUGCUCGAAAGAGCGACCAAAAGAAACAAAACUUUCAACAAUGGAUCUCUUGGCUCCCACAUCGAUGAAGAACGCAGCGAAAUGCGAUACGUAAUGUGAAUUGCAGAAUUCAGUGAAUCAUCGAAUCUUUGAACGCACAUUGCGCUCCCUGGUAUUCCGGGGAGCAUGCCUGUUUGAGCAUCAUUAAGAACCUCAAGCGAAAGCUUGGUUUUGGUCUUGCGCGGUUCGCCGUGCUGGUCCGAAUUUGAUUGGCUGGGCUGAUCUAGCGAUCGGUCCUUCAGCGUAAUAGGUUUUACCCAACUCGCUGAACUUGGAGUGGCCUUGCUGGUCGCGCCCGGCCGUACCUCCCUCACGGGAAACUUUUUGUCUUGAUCUCAAAUCAGGUAGGGAUACCCGCUGAACUUAA
rnacentral:rRNA from 1 species